GCGACAUAUCUUUGUUUAUUAAUAACCAGUCAGGCUUGUGUUUGAGUAAAGAAAAUGUUUUGACACACGUCCAAUGAAACUCUUCUAGACGUCUUACUCAAAAAACUCAACCUCUCCGUAUAUAAAGAAUAAUCCUACACACAAUUUCCCUUUAAACCUUUGAACAUUUUGAUUUAGGAGUAUAUAUAUAUAGAAGAUGAAAGAGAAAUGUUUGUCUUUGAGAAACGAGAGGACGAUGCUGAAGAUUCUAAUGAAGAUGGCACCAUCCAAAUCAGCACUGAUACGCUUCAAUCUAGUCUUGUUGGCUUUCUCUUUUCUUCUCUAUACUGCCAUUUUUCUCCAUCCUUCGUCUUGAUGAACCUAUAAGUUAAAAUGAAUUCCGAGCUUUUAUCAUUAUCGAAGUUGCAUAUGAUCUGCUUCGCUUACCUUCACCAUGGAACUAAUCUUGUCUUUUUUAGGUUGGGAGUCUGGAAGAUGUAUUGAGAAAGAUGGAGAGGAGCGAGAAGAAUUCAGGUUGGGAAGAUGUAAUAUUCAUUCCACUGGGAAGAAGUUAUGCACAACACAUGCAGGAGGUGAUCAAGGAGUAGUAAUAUGAUGAGAGAAGACACAAUGUGGUGUAGGGGCGGAAGCUAAAAGGGGGUUGGUGAUAGGUGCUCUGUUUUGAAUGACGAAACAGGGUGUGUGUGAGACGGUGGGGUGUGAGGGGAGGGACGAACUGUACGGGAAUGGUGAAGCGAACAGAACAAUAACGUAACGAGAGUCCUCCUCUCAGGGCUUGACACAAGCUCUUUGGACAAUUAAGAUUGCCUCUUUUUUUUUGGUUUUUAUUCAACUUCAAAUCAAUGAUAUUGAUACAAAGAUUUGUGACUCUAUAUAAGGCUAAAGAAAUAAAAGAUACGAGCUAAUCCUAAUAA